rnacentral:rRNA from 1 species
UACGAAGGGGGCUAGCGUUGCUCGGAAUCACUGGGCGUAAAGGGUGCGUAGGCGGGUCUUUUAAGUCAGGGGUGAAAUCCUGGAGCUCAACUCCAGAACUGCCUUUGAUACUGAGGAUCUUGAGUUCGGGAGAGGUGAGUGGAACUGCGAGUGUAGAGGUGAAAUUCGUAGAUAUUCGCAAGAACACCAGUGGCGAAGGCGGCUCACUGGCCCGUUACUGACGCUGAGGCACGAAAGCGUGGGGGAGCAAACAGG